AUUGAACGCUGGCGGCAGGCCUAACACAUGCAAGUCGGGCGAGCGGCGGACGGGUGAGUAAUGUAUGGGGAUCUGCCUGAUGGAGGGGGAUAACUACUGGAAACGGUAGCUAAUACCGCAUACCAUCAGAUGAACCCAUAUUGGAUUAGAUAGUAGGUGCGGUAACGGCUGACCUAGGCGCGGAUCCCUAGCUGUUCUGCGAGGAUGAUCAGCCACACUGGGACUGAGACACUGCCCAGACUCUUACGUGAGGCAGCAGUGGGGAAUAUUGCACAAUGGAGGGAACGCUGAUGCAGCGACGCCGCGUGAACGAAGAAGGCUUUGGAGUCGUAAAGUUCUUUUAUAUGGGAAGCGGUACCAUAAGAAAAAGCCCCGGCUAACUACGUGCCAGCAGCCGCGGUAAUAC
rnacentral:rRNA from 1 species